UACGUAGGGGGCUAGCGUUGUCCGGAAUCAUUGGGCGUAAAGCGCGUGUAGGCGGCCCGGUAAGUCCGCUGUGAAAGUCCAGGGCUCAACCCUGGGAUGCCGGUGGAUACUGUCGGGCUCGAGUACGGAAGAGGCGAGUGGAAUUCCCGGUGUAGCGGUGAAAUGCGCAGAUAUCGGGAGGAACACCAAUUGCGAAGGCAGCUCGCUGGGACGUUACUGACGCUGAGACGCGAAAGCGUGGGGAGCAAACAGG
rnacentral:rRNA from 1 species